GGAUGUGAGGGCGAUCUGACUGUGACAUGUAACCGCAUUGAUUGCCAGGAUUGAUCAGGCUGAUCUGCUGGCUAGGCGGGUGUCCCCUUCCUCCCUCACCACUCCAUUUGCAUCCCUCCCAAAGCUGCAUGCUCGGUCUAAGAGGACAGCCAUCCUCCAUAGAGAAGGACUGGUCUUGGGUGAAGGGUAUACGAGUAGCUGCGCUCCCCUGCUAGAACCUCUAAAUAAGCUCUCAAGAAUGAAAUGAGUGUGCAGAAAAAAAUGAGCUAGAAGAUAACACAUUCACAAUAUAAGACAAAAGUAUCUGGAGUGCCUGU
ensembl:misc_RNA 7SK 7SK RNA